CACCGCGGUUAUACGAGAGGCUCAAAUUGAUGAAAAACGGCGUAAAGCGUGGUUAAGAAAACAAGAGAAAAUAUGGCCGAACAGCUUCAAAGCAGUUAUACGCAUCCGAAGUCACGAAGAACAAUCACGAAAGUUGCCUUAAAACCUCUGAUUCCACGAAAGCCAUAAAA
rnacentral:rRNA from 1 species